UGAGGAAUUUUGCGCAAUGGGAGCAAUCCUGACGCAGCAACGCCGCGUGGGUGAUGAAGGCCUUCGGGUCGUAAAGCCCUGUCAGGUGGGAAGAAUGUCCCGGAACUGAACAGGUUUCGGGAGUGACGGUACCACCAGAGGAAGCACCGGCUAACUCCGUGCCAGCAGCCGCGGUAAUACGGAGGGUGCAAGCGUUAUUCGGAAUUACUGGGCGUAAAGCGCGUGUAGGCGGUCCUGCAAGUCUGAUGUGAAAGCCCCGGGCUUAACCCGGGAAGUGCAUUGGAAACUGCAGGUUUUGAGUACUGGCGAGGAUGGGGGAAUUCUCGGUGGAGAGGUGAAAUUCGUAGAGAUCGGGAGGAAGAUCAGUGGCGAAGGCGCCCAUCUGUACGGUAACUGACGCUGAGACGCGAAAGCGUGGGGAGCAAACA
rnacentral:rRNA from 1 species